rnacentral:rRNA from 1 species
AACGAACGCUGGCGGCAUGCCUAACACAUGCAAGUCGAACGAGACCUUCGGGUCUAGUGGCGCACGGGUGCGUAACGCGUGGGAACCUGCCCUUAGGUUCGGAAUAACUCCCCGAAAGGGGUGCUAAUACCGGAUAAUGUCUUCGGACCAAAGAUUUAUCGCCUUUGGAUGGGCCCGCGUUGGAUUAGCUAGUUGGUAGGGUAAAAGCCUACCAAGGCGACGAUCCAUAGCUGGUCUGAGAGGAUGAUCAGCCACACUGGGACUGAGACACGGCCCAGACUCCUACGGGAGGCAGCAGUGGGGAAUAUUGGACAAUGGGCGAAAGCCUGAUCCAGCACUGCCGCGUGAGUGAUGAAGGCCGUAGGGUUGUAAAGCUCUUUUACCCGGGAUGAUAAUGACAGUACCGGGAGAAUAAGCUCCGGCUAACUCCGUG